CUCCCCUUAGCUCAGCUGGCAGAGCGCAAGACUGUAAUGGAAAAGCGUUCAUCUUGAGGUCCCUGGUUCGAACCCGGGAGGAGAGA